UUGUGCUGCCUUUGAGCCCCUGCCACACCUGCACGGGUUACUGCGGCACCACAGUACAUGCUCGCGCAUAACUGGGGCCGCUUGGCCCACUGCGUGGGGACCCUUUAACCGUGAGCCACAUCG
ensembl:snoRNA